AACCCAUGAUAAGGACACAUUCUCAGAAGAUUCUUAAAUCUGUCCCAUGCAUCAUACAAUGUCUCAAGCUCAAAUUGAGCAAAAGAAGAGAUGUUAUUCCUCAACUU
rnacentral:snoRNA from 1 species